rnacentral:misc_RNA from 1 species
AAGUCGUAACAAGGUUUCCGUAGGUGAACCUGCGGAAGGAUCAUUAUCACGUUAUUUCCAACGUACACUCACCACGCGUUAUGUUUUCAUAUAUAUCUCCCGUUUUCCUACAUGUAUCGGCUACGUGCUAACUGAGGGUAUGAGAUGGGUUUAUCCGAGAGGGUAUCCGAACUCAGACGCGGACAUUACGAUAGUAGUAGGAAACGGCUAGCCAAGGACGAGUAGUCUGCUCUAUCUCAUGGACAAAAGUUUGCGGCACAUCUAUUUAAUUUACUUUAAACAAUUUUCACCCAACCUUUUUGCUAGUUGACUUUAUCUGCUCGUCAUUCUCUCUUCAUUGAGAGGUGCGGCACGUUUAUUUAUUUAAACGUUAAAUUACAAUACAACUCUUAGCAAUGGAUAUCUUGGUUCUC